rnacentral:rRNA from 1 species
AGUAAGGAAUAUUGGUCAAUGGACGCAAGUCUGAACCAGCCAUGCCGCGUGCAGGAAGACGGCCCUACGGGUUGUAAACUGCUUUUGUACGGGAAAAAACCCCCGGUCGUGAAUCGGGGCUGAUGGUACCGUAAGAAUAAGCAUCGGCUAACUCCGUGCCAGCAGCCGCGGUAAUACGGAGGAUGCAAGCGUUAUCCGGAUUCAUUGGGUUUAAAGGGUGCGCAGGCGGAAUGAUAAGUCAGUGGUGAAAUCCUACGGCUCAACUGUAGAACUGCCAUUGAUACUGUUAUUCUUGAGUAUACUUGAAGUGGGCGGAAUGUGUCAUGUAGCGGUGGAAUGCUUAGAUAUGACAAGGAACACCGAUCGCGAAGGCAGCUCACUAAAGUAAAACUGACGCUCAGGCACGAAAGCGUGGGGAUCAAACAGGAUUAGAUACCCUGGUAGUCCACGCUGUAAACGAUGAUUACUCGAUGUUGGCGAUAUACAGUCAGCGUCUAAGCGAAAGCAUUAAGUAAUCCACCUGGGGAGUACGGCCGCAAGGUUGAAACUCAAAGGAAU